rnacentral:rRNA from 1 species
UUACUGAGUUUUUAACUCUCCAAACCAUGUGAACUUACCACUGUUGCCUCGGUGGUUAGUGCUCUCCUUCGGGGGGGUGCUGCCGCCGGUGGACUACUAAACUCUUGUUAAUUUAUGGCAUUCUGAAUCAUAACUAAGAAAUAAGUUAAAACUUUCAACAACGGAUCUCUUGGUUCUGGCAUCGAUGAAGAACGCAGCGAAAUGCGAUAAGUAAUGUGAAUUGCAGAAUUCAGUGAAUCAUCGAAUCUUUGAACGCACAUUGCGCCCAUUAGUAUUCUAGUGGGCAUGCCUGUUCGAGCGUCAUUUCAACCCUUAAGCCUAGCUUAGCGUUGGGAGACUGCGCUAAACCGCAGCUCCUCAAAACCAGUGGCGGAGUCCUCUCGUACUCUGAGCGUAGUAAUUCUUUAUCUCGCUUCUGCAAGUACGGUUGACGACAGCCAUAAACCGCACCCUCUCGGGGGGCACUUUUUAAUGGUUGACCUCGGAUCAGGUAGGAAUACCCGCUGAACUUAAGCAUA